UUCUGGACAACUCUGGCAUUUUAUCUUCAGCAAAUGGGAGCUGCAAAUUACAGACAGAAAAAUUAUGGAAGAGAUUGUAUCCUAUGGAGUCCUAUGACCUUGAUUUGGAUAAGGCAAUCUCAGAGCCAAUUUCUCCUCUUGAGAAAUGCACGACCUAUGAUCUUGUUUCAGCUGCCAAGAGGCAAAGCUCAUUUUAUCUUGAGGUACAAUAAUGAACUUGACUAAAUUAAAUAACAUAUGUUUUACAAGUUUGAAUUUGAAUAUAUUUACAUGAUUUAUAUUGAGUUUGAGUACUUUCUGAUAAAAGCUUGCAUUUUAAAUAUUUAAUCUACAACUGAAAUAUUUUGAAAUUCAUAUAAAUACUUCCAAUACAUAUAAUAAAUGGGUGUGUUACAAGGUUUCUAAGCCAUUUGUUGGCGUAUCUUUGCUACAGGUUUCAAGAGCCAAUGUGGACAGUGAGAUCAUUAUGGAAGAAGCUGUUGGUAGAUACAAAGCAUUCCUCUACUUAAUCAAGGAAAACCGUGAAAAGACGAUCAGACUAAUCAGUGUUCCGACUUAUGAUAUUGAUCUAAUUUGGCAUACACAUCAGCUGAACCCUUCCUCUUACUACAAGGAUAUGGUAAAGAUCUUUGGUAACAUCUUACAGCAUGAUGAUACGGCAGACUCUGCCACAAGCGAAGGUAUGAAUCUCGACACUGUUUUCUCUGGAACUACUGCGCAAUGGGAAGAAACAUUUGGUCAAAGGUAUUGGAAAGCCAGCAUGGAUACGACGCCACAUACUUCAGCUAUGGUGGAGACUGAGAGGAGCGGUGCAGGUGCUAGAUGCUUGGCUGAGGCUGCUGAGAAAUGUAGUGCUGGUGCUAGGUGCUUUGCGGUGGAGGCUGAGAAGACCAGUGCUAGGUUUUUUGCUGUGGAUGCUGAGAAGAAAAAUGCUAGGUGCUUUGCAUUGGAAGCUGAGAAGAACAGUGCGAGGUGCUUUGCUCUGGAAGCUGAGAAGAACAGUGCUAGGUGCUUUUCUGUAGAGGCUGAGAAGAAAAAUGCAACGUGCUUUGCAGUGGAAGCUGAGAAGAACAGUGCUAGGUGUUUUGCUGUGGAGGCUGAGAAGAACAGUGCAAGGUGCUUUGCAGUGGAAGUUGAGAAGAAAAGUUCUAGGAGAGUUGCUGUGGAGGCUGAGAAGAAAAAUGCUAGGGGCUUUGCUAUGGAGGCUGAGAAGAAAAAAGCAAGGUGUUUUGCAGUGGAAGCCGGGAAGAACAAUGCUAGGUGUUUUGCUGUGGAGGGUGAGAAGAAAAAUGCAAGGUGCUUUGCAGUGGAAGCUGGGAAGAACAAUGCUAGGUGUUUUGCUGUGGAGGCCGAGAAAAAAAAUGCAGGGUGCUUUGCAGUAACAAAUGGUAAGCGCAGUGCAAGAUGCUUUGCAAUGGAAGUUGAGAAGAAAAACGCAAGGUGCUUUGCAAUGACAGAUGGUAAGAGCAAUGCAAGGUGUUUUGCAAUGGCCUCUGGAAAGAACAGUGCAAGGUGCUUUGCAGUGGGGGCUGAAAAGAAUCGUGGAUGUGGAUGUGGUAAUUUGAUGAAGAACAAUGCUCAGGAAAAUGCUCCACUGGCGGAAGGCGCUACUGCAGCUUAAUUAAUUACUCGACUGAAGAAGUUCUAAUGUGUAAUGCCAAUGUAAAAUAUAUGUAAUAUAUGAUCUGGAAAUGAUGUGAAACUAAUGAGUGAUGUUUCAAAUGUUACAUGUUAUAAACAUGUACAUGCUAAUGUAAAUAAAUAAGUUACAACAGUUUAAUAUCGAUUUGAGUGUUUAUAUUGGAGUGGUGUGUUAAGGGUUGAACUAGGUGGUUGUCCAUGAAUUUAUGGAUAUAAAUAUUGUAUAAAAAAAUAUAUAUUAUGUAUAAAAUGUUAUAUACUUUGAAAGAUUAAAAGUAUAAUUUUUAACAUCAAAUAGUUUGAAAAUCAGUUGUAAAGUUUAUAUAAAUUUGAUGUAAAAAUAACUAAUGAAUACUUAUUAAUAACAAAUGUUUGCGACAUUAUAUAUGUAAUUAUCACAUUAAUUUCACCAACACAUAUUAUGCAUCUUCUUCGGCCUCUUCUUAUUUAUCUCAUUAUCAUUUCGUUCUUUUUAUUAAAUUUGUGCUAAUGUUUUCCUAAAUUUUUACUUAUUUUUGCUAAACAUGUAUUUCUCUCUCUAAAUAGUAAUACAAAACAUACAAUCAAUAAACCAAAAAUCCAUCUUAGAAUUCUUUUCAAUCAUAACAUUACCACAUUCACUAUAUUAUCUUACGUAAAUGCAAAACAUUUUUUCAAUCAAAGUUUCCGCAUGUCCCGUUAAAUAUAAUUCAUCCAAUUUUCAAAACCUAAUUAUUUAUAAAGCAUAUAUGGAUAUUAUAAGAGAUUAUUUAGUAUUAUAGAUACAACUAUAUUUUUAUAAGAUUAAAAUAUAUUUAUAUAUUUUCAAAGAUUUAUACAAAAAGUCACGACUUUAGAUAUUUGAGAUAGUUAUUUUAGGUUAGUAUCUAUACGAUAUAUUUUGAAUAGAAAUAUCAUUGAAAAAUAUACUCUAUUGAAUAAUGAACAUAAAGAAACUUAUUGAGAUAUUUUAACAAUUAAAAAUUAUCUUUUAUGAUGAGAAGACACAACUCUUAAAACUAAUAAUUGUGGAAAUACACAUAUUGGGAUAUUUUAACUACUUUUUAAAACUACUUUAUUUUUUAUAAUAAAAAGACACAACUCUUAGAACUAAUACAUUUCAGUUUUUUUUAAUGAAAACCACAACUUCUAAACAUUAGUUGAGAUUCCUAUUAUUAAUUAUAUUAAUUGGUACAUAUGAUAUAUAUAUUAGAUUAUUUUUUUGCAAAAUAAUUUUAAAUUUCUCAUAUUUAUAUAUUUAAACAGGUUUUAGUUUUUACAAUUUUAAACUAUUCAUAUAUGUUAAACUAUAUUUAUAAACAUAGAAAUUAUGUUUGAAGUAUAUUUUAUGUUCAUUUUAAAAAAAUAAUGAGUAAAUAUUAGUUUUAUACUUAUAUUUUAUGUAAGAUCAUAUAUCCGUCUAGCUCCGUUUGGGCGUUCGCGUACAUGGUUAGUUGCUAAAUAUUUAUCUUCCGCGAAAUGAAUGUCGCACGUUGUAGAAUACUGAUUGAAAAUAAGUCUCACGUGUACCUAUCUAGUGAAAGUUAAAAAAUAUAUGCUCAUUCGCAUAGAACACUUGCUUCAUAUGUGUUUAAAAAUAAAAAUUGACGUUUUUUUACUACAGUUAUAAUCAAUUUAAGCAUACGAAUCUUACAAGUUGCAGAUUCAUAUCUAAGAUAAAUUCUCCAAAUCGUUUACGAAUGGUCGUUUAUGAGAAUCAAAUAUACAAAGACCUCAAAAAUAGGUAAUCUUCAAGUAGUUUCCUUUUUGACCAAGUGUUCUUUUCAUUCUGCGGGGUGCACAGUACUUUUUCUGCCUUCAACAUUUGUAUUUUACACCAUUCAGAAAGGGAGUCUAAUGAUUCACAUAGUCGGUGUUUUUCAACUUAGUCGGUUUUGAAACAGAUACUUUGUUUUUCAUGCUAUAAAUUUUUUUUAACCGUCACUAGGAAAAACAAGAACCACUAGAAUAUGACGUUUAGGCGUUAACCUCAAUUUUAACUAAAAGCCAAAUGAUUAUUUUUGACCCAUGAUGACUCAGUUUUGUAACUGACAUUUUGAAUAUAUAAUGUUAGUUUUUAAAAAAAAAACUUUAUUCGUUUUGUCACUAGUAUUUUGUUUUCGAUGUCUGUUUUCAAGUGAUGUCAAAUUUGGAAAAAUAACGUUAAAAGCCGUUUUAUUUUCAUUUUCUAUUUUCAAUUUCUUUUAAUUUUUUCACCUUUCAAUUUGCUAUUAAUUACUACUCUAUUAUUUUAAAAGGUUCUAAUAAAACUCAACAAGCGUUAUGCAAAUAUAACCAAACAAACACUUCUUUUUUUCUUUCAAACAAACACUUUUCUUUUCCCAAACAAAUACUUGGUUAAGGUAAGACAAAGGUCAAAUAAGAAAAGAGUAACAUCUCUUUGAGUUUUAAUACAAUUAGUAACGUCUUUUGAGUUUGUACAGAAGUUAAGUAGAAACCGUGCUAUAUAUAGAAACAUUUGAAACACUCCUCUCAAACUCGAAUCAACUUCGUCAUCAGAGAAAAAUCCCCUUGAGGAAUAUAGUUUGAAUUCUUCUUAUUCAUACUUCAAGAAUUUAAAGAUUUAAACUUUUGGGGGUUUUCUGUUUCUAGGGUAGAAAAAUCUCAUUAAACCAUCGGCAAUCUCUUGCUCAUGGUUUUAGAAGUUGUAGUUUGAAUUCUUCUUGUUUAUACUUUACAGAUGAAGUUUUCACAAUUGACAGGAAUGGAGAAAGAAAUAGUGCAAAAUUUGGAGUGGCUUGAAGCUCAGAAAAUAGAGAUAAGCAUUGACCUAAUUGCUGAAGCCAACAAACAUCUUCAGUUUCUCGGAGUUGUUGACCGGAACCGGUGGCUGUACGAUGGUCCUGCACUCAAAAGAGCCAUCUACAGAUAAUUAAACAGAACCACGAUAAAAAGUAAUAAAAAAUAAACAAAAUCACCCAUGGGGUUUGCAUCACACAAGUAAAUACAUUUACAUAAUUUAAUGUUUAUUUAAUUCUAUGUAACAUUUAUUUUUUUCUGAUUAGCUAAGUUUAAAGGGCUUAUUUGUGAUAUAACCAAAAAAAGUGAAAUUAGUUUUAUAGAGAUAGAAUAGAGAGAGAUGGAAAGAAGAAAGCGGAGAUAGAGACUGAUAUUGCUUAGAUAAUGAAUUAUAGUUUUUUGUAUUAUCUCACCCAAUUUCCCAAGUUUAAAUUAAUGAUAAUUAAACAAUAUUGCUACAAUCACCAAUUUAUUAAAUCUAAGGAAAAGAUCUAACCUUUUAGUUUGCGAAUAUAUCUUUGUUUGUUUUUCCUUUCCGUUUACAUAAUUCUCAAAUCAGUAAUUUGGUGAUUUAUUUUUCAGAUACAAUGCCUACAGGCUUCUUUCGCUAGCAAAACAUUAUGAGUCUUCCUCAAUCUGCGAAGAACCACUAGUCUCUCCAAUUGACUGUGAAUGGGUUUGGCAUUGCCACAGGCUUGACCCGGUAAAUGUAAGCAUUGUAUAUCUUUGCAUACAACUCACAUAUGAAAAAGCACACUGUAGCAAAAUAAAAGCACACGGUAGUAGAGUAGUGAACAGUGGGAGGUAAAAUAUGUAGCUCACUAUUUUGUUAAUCAUCCAGGUGAGGUACAAGUCUGACUGUGAGGAAUUCUAUGGGAGAGUUCUGGACAACUCUGGCAUUGUAUCUUCAGCAAAUGGGAGCUGCAAAUUACAGACUGAAAAAUUAUGGAAGAGAUUGUAUCCUAUGGAGCCCUGUGACCUUGAUUUGGAUAAGGCAAUCUCAGAGCCAAUUUCACCUCUUGAGAAAUGCACGACCUAUGAUCUUGUUUCAGCUGCCAAGAGGCAAAGCUCAUUUUAUCUUGAGGUACAAUAAUGAACUUGACUAAAGUAAAUUACAUAUGUUUUACAAGUUUGAAUUUGAAUAUAUUUACAGGAUUUAUAUGGAGUUUGAGUACUUUCUGAUAAAUGCUUGCACUUAAAAUAUUUAAUCUACAACUGAAAUAUUUUGAAAUUCAUAUAAAUACUUCCAAUACAUAUAAUAAUAUUAAUGGGUGUGUUACAAGGUUUCUAAGCCAUUUGUUGGUGUUUCUAUGCUACAGGUUUCAAGAGCCAAUGUACAUUUUCUAUAAAAAAACACUAUUACCUAUACAGCUAACCAUAUUUCAACCAAUAGAAAAAUAAAUUUUGCAUAAAAUUAAUAAAUUUUGCAUUGAAAAUCGAAAACGACACUUAUUUUGUAACGAAAAAAAUUCUCUAAAACGACACUUAAUAUGAAACGGAGGGAGUACUUUGUUUUCAUGCUAUAAAUCGUUUUUAACCAUCACUGGGAAAAACAAGAACCACUAGAAUAUGACAUUUAAGCUUUAACCUAAACUAGGUUAAGAUCCACGCCUUGCGCAGAAUAAAUAUUAUAAAUAAAUUAGUUUUACAUAUUAUAUUUUCUUUUACAUAUUAGUAAAUUAUACAUGUAUAUUGAUAACUAAAAAUUCAGUAACUAUUAUGUAUAUGGUGCAAACACAUAAAUUUUUUUUAUUAAUUCAAAUAAACAUUUUUUCUAUUUUAUAUGAUAUAAAAUUAAGUUUUAAUGAUAUUAAUAUUAAUAUUGAUAUCUGUUAUAUAAUAUUUUACACUCAUAUUGUUUUUUGAUCAUUUGUAUUUUUAAUAAGAAAAAGAUUUGAAUCACUAAUAACAAAUAUUUUUGUGGGAUGUUUAAUAGUUUUAGUCAUUUAUAAUUUUAAAAACAUUAUGAAAUGUUUUAAAACUAAAUAUUAAGUUGUCAUAAUUUGUUCAAAUAUUUUAUAAAAAAAAAUCAAAGCAGAUUUCGAAAUUCAAAUACAUAUGUAUUUCUAUAUGGUACAUAAUUUAUUUUAAACAAUAUUAAUAUAUUAAUAUUUAUUAAAUUAUACUUUUUAUUAUAUAAUUUUGUAAUCAUUUAUAUACUGUUAUAACAAAAAAUUUAACCAUAGAUCAAAAAAAUUUUAAUGUGAGAUUUUUGACAACUUUAGUCAUAUAUAGUCGUUUUUAAAAAUUCAAAAUAUAACAUAUACAGAAAAAUCUAAUUUCUUUCUGUAUAGUUAAUGUGGCUGUUUAAUUUAUUUUAAUAGGUUGAUUUUUUAAAAAAAAUAGAGAAUAGACUAAUUUUUAUCAAAUCUUUAUUAUUCAAAAUUAUUAAUUGUCAUAUAUACUUUAGUAACAUUUGGUAAUUAUGUUAUUUUUAUUUUAGGAAACAAUGAAGAACAUUAAAAAUUAAUUUAUGAUUAGUUUAAUAAAAAUCUUAUUAUAUAUUUUGAUAGACCAAUAUAUUUUUCUAAAGAUUCUAAUAAUGAUUGUGGUAUGACAUGCGUCUACCAAAAAAUAUUGUGAUGUUUCUCUUUUAAUAUAUAGGAGAUUUUAACUAAAAGCCAAAUGAUUAUUUUUUUACCCAUGAUGACUCGUUUUGUAACUGACAUUUUGAAUAUAUAAUGUUAGUUUUUUUUAAAUUUAUUGGUUUUUUCAAUAGUGUUUUGUUUUCAAUGUCUGUUUUCAAGUGAUGUCAACUUUGGAAAAAUAAUGUUAAAAAGCCGUUUUGUUUUCAUUUUCAAUUUUCAAUUUCUUUUAAUUUUUUUACCUUUUGAUUUGCUAUUAAUCACUACUCUAUUAUUUUAAAAGGUUCUAAUAAAACUCAACAAGCGUUAUGCAAAUAUAACCAAACAAACACUUCUUUUUUUCCAAACCAAUACUUGGUUAAUGUAAGACAAGUGUCAAAUAAGAAAAGAGUAACAUCUCUUUGAGUUUUCAUACAAAACGUAACGUCUUUUUGAGUUUUUGUACAGAAGUUAGUAGAAACCGUGCUAUAUAUAGAAGCAUUUGAAACCCUCCUCUCAAACUUGAAUCAACAUCUUCAUCAGAGAAAAAUCCCGUUGAGGUAUAUAGUUUGAAUUCUUCUUGUUCAUACUUCAAAAGUUUAAAGAUUUAAACUUUUGGGGGUUUCUCAUGUUUCUAGGGUAGAAAAAUCUCAUUAAACAUCUCUUGCUCAUGGUAUUGGAAAUUGUAGUUUGAAUUCUUCUUGUUUAUACUUUGCAGAUGAAGUUUUCACAAUUGACAGGAAUGAAGAAAGAAAUAGUGCAAAAUUUGGAGUGGCUUGAAGCUCAGAAGAUAGAGAUAAGCAUUGACCUAAUUGCUGAAUCUAAGAAACAUCUUCAGUUCCUCGGAGUUGUUGACUGUAACCAGUUGCUCUACGAUGGUCCUGCACUCAAAAGAGCCAUCUACAGGUAAUUAAACAAAACCACCAACGCGGUUUGCAUCACGCAAGUAUAUAAAUUUACUUAAUUUAAUCUUUAUUUAAUUCUAUGUUAUAUAUUUUUUUUCUGAUUAGCAAAGUUUAAAAUAAUGAUAAACAAUAUUGCUACAAUCACCAAUCUAUUAAAUCUAAGGAAAGGACCUAACCUUUUAGUUUACGAAUAUAUCUUUUUUUUUUGUUUUUCCUUUCCAUUUACCUAAUUCCCAAAUCAAUAAUAAUUUGGUGAUUUAUUUUUCAGAUACAAUGCUUACUGGCUUCCUUUGCUAGCCAAACAUUCUGAGUCUUCCUCAAUCUGCGAAGGACCACUAGUCCCCCCAUUUGACUGUGAAUGGGUUUGGCAUUGCCACAGGCUUAAUCCAGUAAAUCUAAGCAUUGUAUAUAUCUUUGCAUACAAUUCACAUAUGAAAAAGCACACUGUAGCAAAAAAAAAAGCACACCGUAGCAGACUAGUGAACAGUGGGAGGUAAAAUAAGUAGCUCACUAUUUUGUUAAUCAUCCAGGUGAGGUACAAGUCUGACUGCGAGGAAUUCUAUGGGAGAGUUCUGGACAACUCUGGCAUUUUAUCUUCAGCAAAUGGGAGCUGCAAAUUACAGACAGAAAAAUUAUGGAAGAGAUUGUAUCCUAUGGAGUCCUAUGACCUUGAUUUGGAUAAGGCAAUCUCAGAGCCAAUUUCACCUCUUGAGAAAUGCACGACCUAUGAUCUUGUUUCAGCUGCCAAGAGGCAAAGCUCAUUUUAUCUUGAGGUACAAUAAUGAACUUGACUAAAGUAAAUUACAUAUGUUUUACAAGUUUGAAUUUGAAUAUAUUUUCAGGAUUUAUAUGGAGUUUGAGUACUUUCUGAUAAACGCUUGCACUUAAAAUAUUUAAUCUACAACUGAAAUAUUUUGAAAUUCAUAUAAAUACUUCCAAUACAUAUAAUAAUAUUAAUGGGUGUGUUACAAGGUUUCUAAGCCAUUAGUUGGUGUUUCUAUGCUACAGGUUUCAAGAGCCAAUGUGGACAGUGUGAUCAUUAUGGAAGAAGUUGUUGGUAGAUAUAAAGCAUUCCUUUACUUAAUCAAGCAAAACGGCGAAAAGACGAUCAAACCAAUCUGUGUUCCGACUUAUACUAUUGAUCUAAUUUGGCAUACACAUCAGCUUAACCCUUCCUCUUACUACAAGGAUAUGGUAAAGAUCUUUGGUAACAUCUUACAGCAUGAUGAUACGGCAGACUCUGACACAAGCGAAGGUAUGAAUCUCGACACUGUUUACUCUAGAACUACUGCGCAAUGCGAAGAAACAUUUGGUCAAAGGUAUUGGAAAGCCAGCAAGGAUACGAUGCCACAUACUCUAGUUGUGGUGGAGAUUGAGAAGAGUGGUGCGGGUGCUAGAUGCUUUGCUGAGGCUGCUGAGAAAUGUUGUGCGGGUGCUAGGUGCUUUGCGGUGGAAGCUGAGAAGAACAGUGCUAGGUGUUUUACUGUGGAAGCUGAGAAGAAAAAUGCUAGGUGCUUUGCAGUGGUAGCUGAGGAGAACAGUGCUAGGUGCUUUGCUCUGGAAGUUGAGAAGAAAAAUGCUAUUGCUAUGGAAGCUGAGAAGAAAAAUGCUAUUGCUAUGGAAGCUGAGAAGAAAAAUGCAAGGUUCUUUGCAGUGGAAGUUAAGAAGGACAGUGAUAGGUGCUUUUCUGGGGAGGCUGAAAAGGAAAAUGCAAGGUGUUUUGCAAUGACAGAUGGUAAUUAAGAGCAGUGCAAGGUGCUCUGCAAUGGCCACCAGAAAGAACAGUGCAAGGUGCUCUGCAAUGGCCACCAGAAAGAACAGUGCAAGGUGCUUUGCAGUGGCGGCUGAAAAGAACGGUGGAUUGGGAAGUGUUAAUUUGAUGGAGAACAAUGCUAAGGAAAAUGCUCCACUGGCGGAAGGCGCUACUGCGGCUUAAUUACUCAACUGAAGAAGUUCUUAUGUGUAAUGCUAACGUAAAAUAUGUGUAAUAUAUUAUCUGGAAAUGUUGUGAAACUAAUGAGUGAUGUUUCAAAUGUUACAUGUUAUAAACAUGUACAUACUAAUGUAAAUAAAUUAGUUACAACAGUUUAAUAUCGAUUUGAGUGUUUAUAUUGGAGUGGUAUGUUAUGGAUUGAACUAGAUGGUUGCCCGCGAACUCACGGAUAUAAAUAUUGUAUAAAAAUAUAUAUUAUGUAUACGAUGUUUUUUUUUGAUGAAAUGUUAAAUUUAUUGAUCAUCGAAAGGUAAAAGAAUAGUUAUUUACAAAGAGAACCUAAGAAAUGUUUAUUGUAUGAACAUAUCUUUACCCAAUAUGGGCCAGGAACCACCUCUGCAUCAACCCCUCCAGUCCUUUCUUCUCAUAGUAUCUAAUAGAUAGAAGCCGCUGCCUGAUUGUCUUCUCAAUGAUUCUCCCAAGUUGGGUCGCUGGUCUACUUCGCUGUGAGUGUCGCAUUUCAUUUCUCUCUCGCCAUACGUAAUAGAUUGUGAUUUGCAGAGCUAAUCGCAGAAGGAUAGAAACAUGUCGUAAAGAUUAAAAGUAUACGAUGUUAUAUACUUUGAAAGAUUAAAAGUAUAAUUUUUAACUUCGAAUAGUUUGAAAAUCAGUCGUAAAGUUUAUAUAAAUUUGAUGUAUAGCUGAUGAAUAUUUAGUAUUAACAAAUGCUUAUGAAAUUAUAUAUGUAAUUAUCACAUUAAUUUCACCAACACAUAUUAUGCAUCUUCUUCGGCCUCUUCUUAUUUAUCUCAUUAUCAUUUCAUUCUUUUUAUUUAAUUUUUACUAAUUUUUUCUUAACUUUUUACAUAUUUUUGCUAAAUAUUUAUUUAUCUCUCUAAAUAUUAAUACAAAACAUACAAUCAAUAAACCGAAAAUUCAUCUUAGAAUUCUUUUCAAUCAUAACAUUACCUUAUUCAGUAUAUUAUUUGACUUAAAUGCAAAACAUUUUUUAAAUCAAAGUUUUUGCAUGUCCCGUUAAAUAUAAUCCGUCUAAUUUUUAAAGCCUAGUUAUUUAUAAAUCAUAUAUGGAUAUUAUAAGAGAUUAGUUAGUAUUUUAGAUACGAAUAUAUUUUUAUAAGAAUAUGAAAUCAUUAUAUUGAUUUUUAUAAAAAAAAAUUAUAUUCAUUAUUUUAGGUAGUAUAUAAAUAUAAAAAGAAUUGAUCAAACAUUAUUACACUUUCUAUAAAUUUGAAAAUUAGCUAGCAUUAAUUAUUAUUUGUAAUAUCAUUUAGGGGCAUGUGAUAAUAAUUAGUUUAAGACUUUUGAUCUUAUUAAAAUAAUUAAAAAUUAUAAAAAGUUUCAUUCAUUAUAUUAUUUCGUUCAUAAAUAUAAAAUUAAUUAAUAACAUGUUAUUAUUCUUUUUAUAAUUACAACAAUUAGUUCCAUAAAUCAUUAUUUGUAAUAUAGAUUAGAUUAUUUGGCAAGUGAUAUUAAUUGGUUCUAGAUUUAUUUUUUAUUUUGAAUCUAAAAUAAAAUAAAUAAAAUUAAACUUUAUCGACCAAACAAAUCAUAACAAUUUUCUUAAGACUUCACAAAUGAUUGACACGUAAGCAUAAUUCACUUAUGUAAUUUUUUCGUUUAAUAUAUAGAAUAAUUUUUAUUUUUAUAAAUGUUUAUUAACUCAUAUAAAUAAUUUAAAAUUACGAUCAAAUAAUUUUGUAAGCCAUAAUAGAUAAUUUUGUAAAUGUUUUAUUUUUUUAUAAAUGAAUUAUAAGACAUCUAUGGACAUUAUAAGACAUUGAUAAUUAUUAUAAUUCUCUAUAUACAAAGAUAGCAUUUUAUAUAAGAAUAUGAAAUCAUAAAUCAAUUUCUAUAAAUUGUGUUCUACUAAUAAUUUAUGUAGUAUAUAAAUGUAAAAGAAUUAAUCAAACAUUAUUAGAUUUUCUAUAAUUUUGACAAUUAGAUACCAUAAAUUAUUAUUUUUAAUAUCAUUUAAACUAUUUGGUAAGUGAUAUUAAUUAAUUUUAGACUCACCAUUUUUAUUAGAUCUAAUUAAAAUAAAUAAAAAUUAAAUCGUUCAACCAAUCAAAUUAUAAUAAUUUUUUUGAACUCUCUCUAUGAUUGACACCUAAGCAAAAGUCACUUAAGUGACUUCUUGUUUAAUAUACAGGAUAAAUUUUAUUUUAUUAUAAAUGUUUAAUAAACUCAAAUAAAUAAUUUAAAAUUAAGAUGAAAUAAUUUUGUAAGCCAUGAUAGAUAAUUUUAUAAAUUUUUUAACUUUUUAUAAAUUACUUAUAAGACAUAUAUGGACAUUAUAAGAUAUUAAUAAUAAUUAUAAUGAUUUAUAUACAAAUAUAAUGUUUUAUAUAAGAAUAUGAAAUAAUUAUAUCGAUUUCUAUAAAUUGUGUUCUACUAAUUAUUUUAUGUAGUAUAUAAAUAUAAAAGACGUAAUCAAACAUUAUUACACUUUCUAUAAUUUGACAAUUAUUUACGAUAAAUUAUUAUUUGUAAUAUCAUUUACAUCUAAUUUAAAUUGAUAUUACAUUCAACCAAUCAAAUUAUAAUAAUUAAAAUAAUUAGAAACUGAAUUUUAUUUAACCAAUCAAAUUAUAAAAAAAAUUCUUAAACUUUCUCUAUGAUUGACACAUAAGAAAAAGUCAUUUAAGUGACAAAUAUCACACAUAAUAUCUUUUGGUAGUUCUAUAAGUAGGUAAUUGCACAGAUUUUUCAUCAUUUUAAUAAAUUUGUGAAAUAUAUACAGUGAAAAACUUAUGGACAUGGACUAUUUAUAUAUUUUAAAAUAUUUAUACAAAAAGUCACGACUUUAGAUUUCAGAUAGUUAUUUUAGGUUAGUAUCUAUACAAUAUAUUUUGAAUAGAAAUAUCAUUGAAAAAAGAUACACUACUGAAUAAUGAAAAGAAAUAUAAUUAUAGAAAGAAACUUAUUGAGAUAUUUUAAUAAUUAAAAAAAAAACAUUAAUGAUGAGAAGACACAAUUCUUAAAACUAAUAAUUGUGGAAAGAUAUUUAUUGGGACAUUUUAACAACUUUUUUAAACUACUUUAUUUUUUAUAAUAGAAAAGACACAACUCUUAGAACUAAUAUAUUUCAGUUUUUUGAUGAAAAUACACAAAUUUUAAAAAUUAAUACAUUUUCGGUUUUUUUAAUGAAAACCACAACUUCUAAAUAUUAGUUGAGAUUCCUAUUGUUAAUUAUAUUAAUUGUUACAUAUUAUAUAUAUUAGAUUAUCUUUUGAAAAAUAAUUUUAAAUUUAUCAUAUUUAUAUAUUUAAAAAUGAUUUAGAUUUUACAAUUUUAAACUAUUCAUAUAUGUUACACUAUUUUUAUAAACAUAGAAAUUAUUUUUAAAAUAUAUUUUAUGUUCAUUUAAAAAAUAAUAAUGAGUAAAUAUUAGUUUUAUACUUAUAUUUCAUGUAAAAUCAUAUAUCCGUCUAGCUCCGUUUAGACGCUAAAUAUUUAUCUACCGUGAAACGAACGUCUAGCACGUUUUAGAAUACUGAUUGAAAAUAAGUUCCGCGUGUACCCAUCUAGUGAAAGUUUAAAAAUAAAAAUUGAUGUUUUUUUUACUACAGUUAUAAUCAAUUUAAGCAUACGAAUCUUACAAGGUGCAUGUACAUAUCUAAGAUAAAUUCUCUAAAUUGUUUACUAAGUACGAAAGGUCGUUUAUGAGAAUCAAAUUCACAAAGCCCUCAAAAGUGGGUAAUCUUCAAGUAGUUUCUUUUUUGACAAAGUGCUUCUUAUUAUGCGGGGUCCACAGUACUUCUUCGGCCUGCAACAUUUGUUUUUUACACCAUUCAGGAAGGGAGCCUAAUGCUUCACAUAGUCAGUUUUGUAACUGGUGCUUUGUUUUCAGUGCAAUAAAGUGUUUUUUCAACUUAGUCGGUUUUGAAACUGAUACUCUGUCUGUUUAAUUAUAAGUUUCGUUUUAGGUUUCGGCACACAGAUUAAGGAAACAAUUAAUUUUGUACAUUUUCUAUAAAAAAAACACUAUUACCUAUACAGCUAACCAUAUUUCAACCAAUAGAAAAAUAAAUUUUGCAUAAAAUUAAUAAAUUUUGCAUUGAAAAUCGAAAACGACACUUAUUUUGUAACGAAAAAAAUUCUCUAAAACGACACUUAAUAUGAAACGGAGGGAGUACUUUGUUUUCAUGCUAUAAAUCGUUUUUAACCAUCACUGGGAAAAACAAGAACCACUAGAAUAUGACAUUUAAGCUUUAACCUAAACUAGGUUAAGAUCCACGCCUUGCGCAGAAUAAAUAUUAUAAAUAAAUUAGUUUUACAUAUUAUAUUUUCUUUUACAUAUUAGUAAAUUAUACAUGUAUAUUGAUAACUAAAAAUUCAGUAACUAUUAUGUAUAUGGUGCAAACACAU
rnacentral:lncRNA from 1 species